rnacentral:rRNA from 1 species
CAGCCGCCGCGGUAAAACGAGGGGUGCAAGCAUUAUUCGGAUUGAUUGGGUGUAAAGGGUGUGCAGACGGCUUAUUAAGUCACUUGUUAAAUUCUUCGGCCUAACUGAAGGUCUGCAAGUGAUACUGAUGAGCUAGAGGGUGGAAGAGAGAAGUGGAAUUCUCGGAGUAGCGGUAAAAUGCGUAGAUCUCGAGAGGAACACCAAUGGCGAAGGCAGCUUCUUGGUCCAUUCCUGACGUUCAUACACGAAAGCGUGGGGAGCAAACAGGAUUAGAUACCCCCGUAGUCCCUGUCUCUUAUAC